UACGUAGGGGGCAAGCGUUGUCCGGAAUCAUUGGGCGUAAAGCGCGUGUAGGCGGCCAGAAAAGUCCGCUGUGAAAACUCGAGGCUCAACUUCGAGCUGUCGGUGGAAACUUUCUGGCUAGAGUCCGGAAGAGGAGAAUGGAAUUCCUGGUGUAGCGGUGAAAUGCGCAGAUAUCAGGAAGAACACCCGUGGUGAAGGCGGUUCUCUGGGACGGUACUGACGCUGAGACGCGAAAGCGUGGGGAGCGAACAGG
rnacentral:rRNA from 1 species